ensembl:lncRNA
UCUUAUGAAACCAAACGUUCCCUGCUCAGCCGAAAUUAACUGAUUGAUAGUUGACCUGACCUAUAAUCAGAGCAGGAAGGUCUCGUUAUAAAAGUAGUGGAAAUUUCUGCGGUCAACUAUAAUUAGGCCCAGCACCCCAGAGCAGGUACGAAGAAACAGGGCCAGGAGCAAAGCAUUAUGGGGCAGCUUGUGACUGUCACUCAGUACGAGCUGUAUGUGUCUGCAAUUACUAACACAAAUACACACACACACACACACACACACACACACUGUCCCAAUCCCUCAGGCUGCUAAAAUUGAAUCUCAAGUUGUGUCCUAUUUUGGUUGAAGAACAGGUGAUCUGCUUGGCAAACACACUUUCUCUUGCUUUCCUUCCCUCCUGUGGCAGUUAAUGAAUGUGGCGACAACAUAGUUUUCCAAGAAAAUGAAAGAGGGGUUGUGGCACAGAACGGAGUGCUACUUGAUUAGCAUUGUUUUUGCAGUGCACGUCUGGGUUAAAUGAGAAUGACAUGUUUUCCUCCUUUAUUCAAGACAUUUGUCUUUGAUAUUGUUUGCUGGCUUACUUCAUCUGUUCUGGCAUGGAUGCAGAGAGCUGGCCCAGCGAUUCCCGCAACGCUCCACAGAUGUUAUUGACCUCUGGGUUAACUCAUGUCAGUUUUUUAGCAUGGCUUUGGAGUUCAUCUCAGGUAUGAGGUGCCCACAGGAAGCUAUUGGUCUCAGGAAACUGCCCCUCUGACUCCUGGCCCGCUUUCAAGACUGAAAAAAGCCACUCUCUCACUGUUACUCUCCAUGUCUCAACACCCCCUUCUUUCUAUCCUGUACACACCGACAGGAGGCAACCGGGGACCAUUUACCGCAGUCCCGAGAGCCUACAGCUGGUGAGGGAGAGCAAGCGAGUCUGAUCUAAGGUCAG